AGGCAGCAGUGGGGAAUUUCCGCAAUGGGCGAAAGCCUGACGGAGCAAUACCGCGUGAGGGAAGACUGCCUAUGGGUUGUAAACCUCUUUUUUCAGGGAGGAAUAAAUGACGUGUACCUGAAGAAUAAGCAUCGGCUAACUCCGUGCCAGCAGCCGCGGUAAGACGGAGGAUGCAAGUGUUAUCCGGAAUCACUGGGCGUAAAGCGUCUGUAGGUGGUUGUUUAAGUCAACUGUUAAAUCUUGAGGCUCAACCUCAAAAUCGCAGUCGAAACUAUUCAACUAGAGUAUAGUAGGGGUAAAGGGAAUUUCCAGUGGAGCGGUGAAAUGCGUAGAUAUUGGAAAGAACACCGAUGGCGAAGGCACUUUACUGGGCUAUUACUAACACUCAGAGACGAAAGCUAGGGUAGCAAAUGGGAUUAGAUACCCCAGUAGUCCUAGCUGUAAACAAUGGAUACUAGAUGUUGAACAGAUCGUACCUGUGCAGUAUCAAAGCUAACGCGUUAAGUAUCCCGCCUGGGAAGUAUGCUCGCAAGAGUKAAACUCAAAUGAA
rnacentral:rRNA from 1 species